rnacentral:rRNA from 1 species
CCUACGGGUGGCAGCAGUGAGGAAUAUUGGUCAAUGGACGCAAGUCUGACCCAGCCAUGCCGCGUGCAGGAAGACGGCUCUAUGAGUUGUAAACUGCUUUUGUACGAGGGUAAACGCAGAUACGUGUAUCUGUCUGAAAUUAUCGUACGAAUAAGGAUCGGCUAACUCCGUUCCAGCAGCCGCGGUAAUACGGAGGCUUCAAGCGUUAUCCGGAUUUAUUGGGUUUAAAGGGUGCGUAGACGGGGGGUUAAGUUAGUUGUGAAAUCCCGAGGCUCAACUUCGGAAUUGCCUGUGAUACUGGUAGGCUAGAGAGUAGUUGCGGUAGGCGGAAUGUAUGGUGUAGCGGUGAAAUGCUUAGAGAUC